GAUGAACGCUGGCGGCGUGCCUAACACAUGCAAGUCGAGCGAACACUUCGGGGUGAGCGGCGGACGGGUGAGUAACGCGUGGGUAACCUGCCCUGUACACACGGAUAACAUACCGAAAGGUCUGCUAAUACGAGAUAAUAUACUUUAAUCGCAUGGUUAAGAUAUCAAAGCUACGGCGGUACAGGAUGGACCCGCGUCUGAUUAGCUAGUUGGUAAGGUAAUGGCUCACCAAGGCGACGAUCAGUAGCCGACCUGAGAGGGUGAUCGGCCACACUGGAACUGAGACACGGUCCAGACUCCUACGGGAGGCAGCAGUGGGGAAUAUUGCACAAUGGGCGAAAGCCUGAUGCAGCAACGCCGCGUGAGCGAUGAAGGCCUUCGGGUCGUAAAGCUCUGUCCUCAAGGAAGAUAAUGACGGUACUUGAGGAGGAAGCCCCGGCUAACUACGUGCCAGCCGCCGCGGUAA
rnacentral:rRNA from 1 species